UACGUAGGGUGCGAGCGUUGUCCGGAAUUAUUGGGCGUAAAGAGCUCGUAGGCGGUCUGUCGCGUCGGCUGUGAAAACUCGGGGCUCAACUCCGAGCUUGCAGUCGAUACGGGCAGGCUAGAGUUCGGCAGGGGAGACUGGAAUUCCUGGUGUAGCGGUGAAAUGCGUAGAUAUCGGGAGGAACACCUGUGGCGAAAGCGGCGCACUGGACCAUAACUGACGCUGAGGCGCGAAAGCUAGGGGAGCAAACAGG
rnacentral:rRNA from 1 species